UUUAUUUUUUUGCUGUCAGGUACUCCUUCGUGUUCAGUUCGGGCUUCAGUAUAAUAAUGUAGCACUUGGGCAUGAAGAUGCAGCCCAGAAGCCCAGCACUGGAGACCAAGAUGGAGAAGACCUGCACGGCUACCAUGUAUUUCCCCUUGGUGCUCAGGUAGGUGGGCACAAAGGACACCCAAACACUGCAGAAGACCAGCAUGCUGAAGGUGAUCAGCUUGGCUUCAUUGAAGGCCCCAGGCAGUUUCCUGGCUAGGAAAGCCACCAUGAAGCAGAUGGCAGCCAGGAAGCCCGUGUAGCCGAGGGCAGCAUAAAACAUAGCAUCAGACCCUUCAUUGCACUGCAAGAUGAUCUCUCCAGGGAGGGAGCUCAUGUCAGAGUUUGGGAAUGGAGGAGAAAGUCGCAGCCAGGUGAUGCAGAUGACAACUUGGACAGUGGAACAGGAAAUGACAAUGGAGUUGGCCAGACUUUUCCCCAGCCAUUUCCUCAGCCUGUUCCCUGGCUUGGUGGCCAAGAAGGCCAACACCACAGUGAUGGUUUUUGCCAACACAGAAGAGAUGGCAGAUGAGAAGACAAUGCUGAAGACCAUUUGUCGGAGAAGACAGGUGACUUUCCUUGGCCGGCCGAUGAAGAGGAAAGAGGACAAAAAGCAGAGCAGGAGGGAGAAGAGGAGGAUGUAGGAGAGGUCCCUGUUGUUGGCUUUGACUAGGGGAGUUUCAUUGUAUUUCAUGAAUAUUCCCAAAAUGCAGCCUGUGGUUGAGGAUAAGAGAAGGGCAAAGGAAGCCAGGAGGAUCCCCAAGUAAUCUUCAUAGGACAAGAAGGUGAUUGCUUUGGGGACACAUUGAUCGCGGUCCUUGUUUGGAUGCUGAUCUUCUGGACAUUUGGUGCAUUCAUUGGCAUCUGCACAGAGAAAGAGAGACAUCAUUAUCCUAACAUUAGUCAUACACCUAGAGCAGUCUUAUAAUUGUGGGGAAUGGUUGGCAUAUGGGAGAGAUCAAGAAAUUGUUGUUAAUAAUAAUAAUAAUAAUAAUAAUAAUAAUAAUAAUUUAUUAUUAUUUAUACCCCGCCCAUCUGGCUGGGUUUCCCCAGCCACUCUGGGCGGCUUCCAACAAAACACUAAAAUACAAUAACCUAUUAAACAUUAAAAGCUUCCCUAAACAGGGCUGCCUUCAGAUGUCUUCUAAAAGUUUGGUAGUUAUUUUUCUCUUUGACAUCUGGUGGGAGGGCGUUCCACAGGGCGGGUGCCACUACCGAGAAGGCCCUCUGCCUGCUUCCCUGUAACUUGGCUUCUUGCAGUGAGGGAACCGCCAGAAGGUCCUCAGCGCUGGACCUCAGUGUCCGGGCAGAACGAUGGAGUUGGAGACGCUCCUUCAGGUAUACUGUGUUCUCUAGUAGAGAACCUUCGAUCCAUGGCUUCUUUCCACUGGCGUUGUGUCCUACCUUCCUGAGUGGAGACUGUCCCUUCUGAGCAGGGAGCACAGUCAUAGCAGCACGGAGGCUUCCCUUCCUGAAUCUUCUUGGCAAAUCCAGGGCAACAGCUCUUUGUGCAUCUUGCAUGAGGCAUGGUCUGGAAAUAAAUAGAAGAAAAAGCAUUGAGGAAAUGGAUUGUUCAGUAUUGGAAGGAUCCCUGGAAUAACACUAAUACUAACAAUAAAAUAAUAUCUAUACCCUAACCAUCUGGCUGGGUUACCCCAGCCACACUGAGCAACUUCCACACAGAUAAAAAUAUAAUAAAACGUGAAACAUUAAAAGCACCUUUACUUCCAAUUGCCCAAAGUGAGCCCAGGCCCAAUUAGGAGUGAUUUCUUUUUUGCUUUCUGUAGAGCAGAAUGGCUGUGAAAUCUCUUUAGUGUUUCUGCUUAUUCCCUUUAACAUUGAUAUACUGCACUUUUCUACACAUACAAUCCAGGCAACAUGUGAAUUGAACCAGCCAUUCCUACAAAAUGGGGCACUAAAAAAACUCCUGACACUGUUGCCAUCACACCUGCUAUGUGUUGAUGCAGUUGUGAAAUAAGGGUGGACUGACUGAUUUCUGCUUUGCUUCCAAGGCAAAUGGCAUUGUUGAGGUUGGCAUGAAGACUGCAGAACGUGGCACCUAGUUUGCUCGUGAGGCAUAUCUGCACUUCCCAUUUUCAUUUUAGGAGGCUUUCCAGGCUCGAUAAAAUAUAUAUAUAUUACAGCUGUUCAUUUUGUAAUUCAUUUUGUAAGCCUCUUAUUCAUUGUCAGAUUUUAUACAUGCUUAUUCAACAGUGAGAUCCAUUAAGCUCAUUGCUAUUUAUCUCCAAGGAAGUGUCCAUGACUGCAAUAAAAGCCUCAUAUGUAAUGUUCAACAUGCUGUUAGAAUGUAGAAUAUACCAUAGAUAUUAAAAAGGCAUCUAACAUUUCUCCUACCUUCUUCCACAGUGUGGGCCAUACUAUUGUUUCUGGGCUAAUGGUGAACUUUAGAUUUGAGGACUCCUGUCUCUCUAUGCUCCCAAUCUUCACACUAGCAUGAGAUUUAUUAGGGAACAACACCCAAUUGACAAUAUCAAAGUCAAUGGCCAGUGCCCCAUUCUUAUCCAAGUACUGUCCAUCAGCUGAAGUAUUGGAAGAGAGAUGGACUUCUUUCAAGAAUGAAUGAAACUAGAACAACAGAGAAAACCACGUUGGACGGCAUAUAUUGAUCAUAAAGACAUUUGGAGGUGGAAAUCAUUGGUUGGAUAUUCAUUCACUUGUCAUAUGGGGACAUGGCUGCUGUGCACACAUGAGAAGAAAAUGAGCUGUCCCAGUUUUUCCAAGACACAUGUAGGGCAUGCUGUGUUCCUAUUAUGAUGAUUCCAGAGUUGGAAAAGAAAUCACAACCUUCAAAAGCGAGAGGCCAUUUCUGUAAUCUACCCCCCACUCUUUAAUCCAUAUCUAAUUCUACCCUUCCUUCCCCACCCAUCACACUUUAUGUCAGCGCAACUUAAUAGGUUUGAUAGAAAACACAAGGUGAGAGACACAGGCCAACCCAGAUGGGUUGGCAUGGAAUCAUCCUAUAAAUUAGAUAAGCAAGAUGACUAGCUUAGAAGCAAUUACAUUAAAUGUGAGGGGGUUGGGAAACCUUAUCAAAAGAAAACGCAUCACCUCGUAUGUGAACACCAUGAAACCACACAUUCCUUUCCUACAUGAAAUACACAAUCCACCGAAAGGAAGCAAACUCCUGAGUGAUCCCUGCUUCAAGUCAACAAUGGAUUGCACCUGGUUCAGGAAAGGCCCACAGAGUAGCCAUAAUACUCAGUAGAGACCUGAGCUUCAAAGCCACGACAGUGCUAAAAGACAAAAAGACAAUUGGCUCCUUAUAUGCCCCAAACUAAAAACAAUUCGAGUUCAUCCAGAAAACUCUAAACAAGUUCCUCUCCUUCUCAAAGGGGAAGCAAUCCUGGGAGUGUGACCUCAACCUAAAUAUGAGAGGCAUCUUCCUGAAAGACACCCACCCUACAACACCAUGGACAACCUUCCUCUGAAGGCAGCCCCUUCAGGGACUCUUACAAAUUAGGGACUCUUACAAAUUGCUAAAAAACACAGGGGUCUCUAUGACAUAUGGGGCGAAGAAAACCUGGGAUACCCCAGCUACACAUUCCAUUCCAGACACCACAGCACAGUCCAGACUAGAUAAGAAAAGAACAACAAGUAUCACACACCCCACUCACGCACAAAACCAAACCUCACUAGAGCCAACCAAACACAACCAACUACACCCUAAGCCAUGCCCGACCUCUCUCACCACCAAGGAAAUACAACAAGCAAAUAGUAAGAGAACCUACACAGGUGACACUGACACAAAACCCCACGCAUACACUAAGCAGAAGAAUAGAAGCAAAACCACCUGACUUCACCCCAAUCACCAUUCCUCCUCCCCCUCUUUCGCCCGCUUUUCUUCCUAACCUAACCCUGUAUGUAGCACUAAUGUCUCACACCAAAUGAAACUGAUCUGUACAAGCACAACUUGAAAAAAAGACAAUGCAUGUAUUUUUGUAAACUAAAAUAUAUUACAUAUAUAGAUAUAGAUAUCAAGAGGCCAUACCUGCCAUGGCUGUAGACUUUGAAGCUCCAUCUCGUCUCCUCCACCCACCAUCAACCUCUGCUUUGAUCUGGAUGAAUAGGCUGCAUUCAAAGCCUGAGCCACAACUUGGACACUGUAGUAAGUGAUAUAACUGUCUUGGGAGUGGAUUCCUUCAAUCUCCUCCUGGGGCAGCAGCAUCUGAUUCUUCUUCUCCCUGCAUCUUUCCCAACUCCUCACAGACAAGGCAUGCUUUGAAUAUGAACAUACAAAUGUUUUCCGCCAAGAAGCAGAAGCUCUUGGCUCAUAGUAGUCCUUUUUUGCUUCCUUUUUGGUCUUCAUUACAAAGGACAAUGAACCAUGGGCAUAUCGGAAGGCUUCCGUCUCAUAAAACAAGAUGUUGUCCUGAAGACCGGUGGUGAUCCAGACUUUCCCCCCAGUUUGUGUCCUUUCAAAGAAAGAUUGUACCUCUAUGAUAACAUAAAAUCCAUACUGAGAAUCUGUAUAGUAAACAAAUACAUUGACUUGUCUCCACAAGGGAGAUGGCUCGUGAGAGAACCACAGGGAGGUUUUCCAUUGCACUCUUUCGGUGAAGGCAGCACAAAUUUCCCAUUUGCUCAUCAGAGGUGUCAAGGUGCUCAGGAACUUUUCUCCAUUGCCAUUGUCUGAAGCAAAGAGGCCGACCCAUGUCCAUCUGAAGUGCAGGAGGAGUUCCACCACCCCCUGGCACUGAGCUUCUUCAUUUGGGACCAUCGAGUUGACAAAAGGAGACUGUUUUUUAUCAUGAAGAACAAAGCCAGAACUGAGCUGUUGAGAGAAGGGAAAGAGACUGAUGCUUUGCUUUUCAGGACAAAUAUUGGAUGACAAAUUUAAUUAUCAACCUCAACCUUAUUUGAAAUAAAUUUUUAUUAUUAUUUUAGCAAUGUAUAAACCACUUAACUGCUUAGCAAUGUAUAAACCGCUUAGCAAUUACAGAGGAAAUAAUAAUAAUAAUAAUAAUAAUAAUAAUAAUAUAAUAAUAAUAAUACCCCACCAUCCCCGGCUAGAGCCGGGCUCAGGGUGGCUAACACCAGUAAAAUUACAGUAAAAACAUAAUGGGGGUGUGUGAACCAAUUUAAAAUACAGGUUAAAAUGCAAUUUAAAAUGCAGCCUCAUUUUAAAAGUGGCCCAUAGAUCAAAACCAUAAGGGCUGGGAAACGUAAGGGUCAGACUGAGUCCAGACCAAUGGCCAGGCGGAACAGCUCUAUCUCAGCAUCUUCAUUUAGCAAAGGAGUUGUUCUAUAUGAUUCAGCUGGUUUAGGUCCAUAUGUUAGGAAUAGAUAUAAUUAUAGCUUCUGAACUAUAGGUGGUUUUGGGUGUGUGUGGAAGAUUUGUAGAUUGUUGUAUUAACUUGUUAUUUUAUCAGUGGGGAGUUUAUAAAGGGGCAUAAUCAGCAUAAGUCAUUGGGUGGAUUUCAGUUUUAGUGAUCUUUGCUACUGGGCAUGAAGCAAUGAGAGAAAAUCUCUAUAGAAAUAUGAAUUGUGGACAUGAAAAUAGAAAGUGAGGUCUUUAUCAGUAGGAUGUUAGAAUCUCCAAAUAUCUAUUAAGCUAUUUACUUCCAUUAUGUUUUAAAGGUCUUGGUUUGUUGUUUAGUCGUUUAGUCGUGUCUGACUCUUUGUGACCCCAUGGACCAGGGCAAGCCAGGCACUCCUGUCUUCCACUGCCUCCCGCAGUUUGGUCAAACUCAUGUUGGUAGCUUCGAGAACACUGUCCAACCAUUUCGUCCUCUGUCAUCCCCUUCUCCUUCUGCCCUCAAUCUUUCCCAACAUCAGGGUCUGUCCUUCAGGAUCUGUCCUUCCAGGGAGCACUCAGGGCUGAUUUCCUUAAGAAUGGAGAGUUUUGAUCUUCUUGCAGUCCAUGGGACUCUCAAGAGUCUCCUCCAGCACCAUAAUUCAAAAGCAUCAAUUCUUCGGCCAUCAGCCUUCUUUAUGGUCCAGCUCUCACUUGCAUACAUCACUACUGGGAAAACCAUAGCUUUAACUAUCUUGUCAGCAAGGUGAUGUCUCUGCUUUUUAAGAUGCUGUCUAGGUUUGUCAUUGUUUUUCUCCCAAGAAGCAGGUGUCUUUUAAUUUCGUGACUGCUCUCACCAUCUGCAGUGAAAGUAAAAUCUCUCACUGCCUCCAUUUCUUCCCCUUCUAUUUGCCAGGAGGUGAUGGGACCAGUGGCCAUGAUCUUAGUUUUUUGAUGUUGAGCUUCAAACCAUAUUUUGCGCUCUCCUCUUUCACCCUCAUUAAAAGGUUCUUUAAUUCCUCCUCACUUUCUGCCAUCAAGGUUGUGUCAUCUGCAUAUCUGAGGUUGUUGAUAUUUCUUCCAGCAAUCUUAAUUCUGGCUUGGGAUUCAUCCAGUUCAGCCUUUCGCAUGCUGAAUUCUGCAUAUAAGUUAAAUAAGCAGGGAGACAAUAUACAGCCUUGUCGUACUCCUUUCCCAAUUUUGAACCAAUCAGUUGUUCCAUAUCCAGUUCUAACUUCUCGUCCCACAUAGAGAUUUCUCAUGAGGCAGACGAGGUGAUCAGGCACUCUCAUUUCUUUAAGAACUUGCCAUAGUUUGCUGUGGUUGACACAGUCAAAUGCUUUUGUGCAGUCAAUGAAGCAGAAGUAGAUGUUUUUCUGGAACUCUCUAGCUUUCUCCAUAAUCCAGUGCAUGUUUGCAAUUUGGUCUCUGCUUCCUCUGCCCCUUCGAAAUCCAGCUUGCAUUUCUGGGAGUUCUCGGUCCACAUACUGCUUGAGCCUUCCUUGUAUAAUUUUAAGCAUAACCUUGCUAGCGUGUGAAAUGAGUGCAAUUGUGCGGUAGUUGGAGCAUUCUUUGGCACUGUGCUUCCUUGGGAUUGGGAUGUAGACUGAUCUUCUCCAAUCCUCUGGCCACUGCUGAGUUUUCCAAACUUGCUGGCAUAUUGAGUAUAGCUCCUUAACAGCAUCAUCUUUAGCCUUGUUAUUUGCAGUGCUUUCUAAGGCCCAUUUGACUUCACUCUCCAGGGUGUCUGGCUCAAGGUCAGCAACCACACUACCUGGGCUGUAUGAGAUCUCCGUAUCUUUCUGGUAUAAUUCCUCUUCUUGAUGUCUUCUGCUUAUGUUAGGUCCUUUCCACUUUUGUCCUUUAUUAUGGUAAUCUUUGUACGAAAUGUUCCUUUCAUAUCUCCAAUUUUCUUGAACAGAUCUCUGAUUUUUCCCAUUCUGUUGUUUUCCUCUAUUUCUUUGCAUUGUUCGUUUAAGAAGGCCCUCUUAUCUGUCCUUGCUAUUCUUUGGAAAUCUGCAUUCAAUUUCCUGUAUCUUUCACUAUCUCCCUCACAUUUUGCUUGCCUUCUAUCCCCUGCUAUUUGUAAGGCUUUAUUGGAUAGCUACUUUGCUUUCUUGCAUUUCCUUGGCUAGGUCUCGGCUAGAUUGCCUUUUUUGAGAUAUGUCAAUCAUAGAUGAAAUCAUGAAAUCAUACCAUUGAAGUCACCUCCAAGUAUUAUUUCACCUUUAGCAUGGAUUUUUAUUACACUAUUUGUAGAUUUGACAGGGGAAAAUAUUGGUUAAUGCACAUUGAAGAAUACAGUGGUACCUCGAGUUACAUACGCUUCAGGUUACAGACUCCGCUAGCCCAGAAAUAAUGCUUCAGGUUAAGAACUUUGCUUCAGGAUGAGAACAGAAAUCGUGCUCCGGUGGCAGCAGGAGGCCCCAUUAGCUAAAGUGGUGCUUCAGGUUAAGAACAGUUUCAGGUUAAGUACGGACCUCCGGAACGAAUUAAGUACUUAACCCGAGGUACCACUGUAUUUAUAUUAAAGCAGUUGUACAUUUAACGUUAUGUCCCUUUCUUCCUAUCAUUUUGCUCAGUUUAUUUAUUAAAAUAGUUAUAGUAUACUCAGCAUAAUUUGUUGUUUCAUGAGAUGGCAAAGCCCAUUCUUACUUGUGGGAUUUUGUAGAUGCCCAAUAUGCUUGCAAUGUGCAUGGAGAUGUCGGAUUCACCCCGUUCAUGAACAGCCAGUAAUGUUUUCUGCCUUCCACAGGUAUAGUUUGGAAUAUUGAUUUUCCCACCAGCAAGCAGAUCUGUCAGGGCAUCAGAAGUGGUUCUUCCAUCAAAAUAGGUCUCAUAGAUGCUGUAGCCCAGGGUGAUGUUGGGUAGGAGCCUGGGGUUAUGAUUGACAUCCUGCAAGGCCAGCAAGAAGCUAAGAAUUUGCCAUCCCCUCUUAUUCACAGAACUGCAAAAAGAAUUAUGUCACAUAGUGACAUUCAGUUCAUUGAAAUUGAAAGUAUAGCCUUCUCCUAUAGCCACUAAAUAUCUUAAGGCUUUCUAAAAUACUUCUGUAAUACUAAACUCUUAAAAAUACAUUUUGACCUGGCCAAUAUGGCCAGCUACCUCCCAGUCUCAAAUCUUCCAUUCUUGGGCAAGGUGAUUGAGCGGGUGGUUGCUGAACAACUCCAGUCAUGACUGGAGGAUGCAGACCAUUUUGAUCCCUUCCAAUCGGGAUUCAGGCCUCAUCAUGGGACGGAAACUGCCUUAGUUGCGCUGAUCGAUGAUCUCCAGUGGGCUAGGGACAAAGGUGAAAGCUGUUUUCUUGUUCUGCAGGAUCUCCCUGCAGCCUUUAAUACCACCGACCGUGACAUCCUUUGUGACUGUCUAGAGGGACUGGGAGCUGGGUGCACUGUCAUACAGUGGUUCCGCUCCUUCCUCCUGGGCCGUGUCCAGAAAGUGGUGUUGGGGGGGUGAGUGUUCAGACCCCUGGGCUCAAACUUGUGGGGUGCCUCAGGGUUCUGUCCUCUCCCCUAUGCUUUUUAACAUCUAUAUGAAGCCGCUGGGAUAAAUCACAGGGGGCUUGGGCUGGGUGUUCAUCAGUUUGCAGAUUAUACCCAGCUCUACCUCUCAUUUAAAUCAGAACCAGUGAAAGCGGUGCAUGUCCUCUGUGAGUGUCUGGAGGCAAUUGGAGGAUGGAUGAUGGCUAACAGAUUGAGGUUGAAAUAAAUAAAUAAAUAAAUAAAUAAAUAAAUAAAUAAAUAAAUAAAUUUUGUCCAGUUGCACCUUGGAGACCAACUAAGUUUGUUCUGGGUACAAGCUUUCGUGUGCAUGAACACAAAAGCUUACACCCAGAACAAACUUAGUUGGUCUCUAAGGUGCUACUGGACAAAAUUUAUUUAUUUUGACUGUGUCAGACCAACACGGCUACCUACCUGAAUGUAAAUUGAGGUUGGAUCCUGACAAGACAGAAGUACUGUUUUGGGGGGGGACAAGGGGAGGGCAGGUGUGGGGAGCUCUCUGGUCCUAAAUGGGGUAUCUGUGCCCCUGAAGGACCAGGUGCACCUCCUGGGAGUCAUUUUGGACUCACAGCUGUCCAUGGAGGCACAGGUCAAUUCUGUGUCCAGUGCAGCUGUCUACCAGCUCCCUCUGGUACGCAGGCUGAAACCCUACCUGCCCUCAGACUGCUUCACCAAAGUGGUGCAUGCUUUGAUUAUCUUCCACUUGGACUACUGCAAUGUGCUCUAUAUGGAGCUACCUUUGACGGUGGCUCAGAAACUGCAACUAAUCCAAAAAGUGACAAAAGAGGCUUCUCCAAUAUUGAUAGAUGGGAGUCAUUAAACCUUAUCCUUUGGGGAAGGGUGAACUCUCUCAAAACGAACAUUAUCCCAGAUUUAUUUAUAUUCUGAGAAGACUUCCAGUUUUUAUAUCCCGAUCAUAUUUCCAAAAGAUAAAGUUCCUGUUUAGGAAAUGUAUUUGGAGUUCAAAUGUACUGAGAAUAUCAUUGCAGAAAAUGCCAUCACAAAUUAAGGAAGGUGGCUUUGGAAUUCCAAAUCUGGAAUUAUACCAGCAUGCUUAUUUAUUGUCAAGUAUCAGACACUGGAGACCUACUGGGGGUCUUAAUCUCCCAAGCUGAGCAACUUUAGAGAAUACAUACAUACAGUAAAGCCUUUGGUUAGGUGGACAGUAUUAGGAUAAAUUUCCACAUGCUAAACUUACCAUGUGGGGAAAUCCUACUUUAUAUUUUAUCCUUUUAUAAAUAAAUUAUUCUUUUUUUUUUUUUUUAAUAAAAUCUCUCACACUCAGCGGCCUUGUGGAAGUCCGGCUCCACUUUGUCCACUGGUCAGUAGCUAAGGUCUUUUCCAGGCAUUGUACAUCUCACAAACAUUGCUUCUCAUAAAAGGGUUGGCAUGUUUGGAAUCACAGCAUGAGAAGAGCACCUGCCUAAGCAUAGUAGAGAGUUACAGUUUUCAGUUGCAUAGAUUGCUUUGUGCCUGGGGAAAAUAAUUGUGCAUUGAAAAUUGUUCUCCCCAUCUAUCAUUGUACCCAGCUAUAAAGGACAAGCCUGCCUUUCAACAUUCACUUUUCUGAGUGAGAGAACCAAUCUCCCGUUCAUCUCCAGGUGAGGGUAGUGGCUCACUCCUGGGGCACUAAUUCAUAAACUUCUAGAAAAAUUUAUUGGGUUGAGAGUGGGAGAACUCCAAAAUUUUCAUGCCAAAAAAUGCUCCAAGGUUCCAUGAGACACAAUGAGAGAAUGAAUUUCAUUUUGCUAACUACAGAAAACCUGCAACAGCCACACCCCAUAUACCUCCAUAAACCUCCAGGACACCAUAGACCUCCAGGAGAGACCCACCCUGGCUUCAGUCACUUUCAUCUCAGAGGGGCUGACCCACGUACAUCAAGAGAACUCGAGUGAAGCAGAAACACAUCAAUACAUUACUCACGUUUCAACAUAGUUCAAGGGGGUGCUGUAGAAGGUGAAGGGAAAACGAUCUCCAAUGAAUCUUGAAGAUACAAUUCCACUAAUGAGAUGGUUUCCUGGCCUGUAAAAAUUCACAGCAUAAUUGAUAUCCCUGAUCAGAUUCAGUGAGCAUUUUGCCUUCUGCUGCAUCUCGUAGGUUGCUAGAAGGAGCAACAAGAGCAGUGUUACCAUUCUGAAUCCACCUGAUACAUAUCCCUUCUGACUGUUCCUCUCAACUCCACAGCCAGCUAAUCAGAAGAAGCCUAAACUAUUGCAAAGACGUGUCCAGCUCCAGCUUCAGAGACAAAGAAGACAUGAUAUAACUGAGUGCUAGAGCACUUGUUUGCACCCAAAAGUGCCAGGUUCAACCUCAGCCAACUGUUCCAGGUAGGGCUGAGGAUAUCCUCUACUUGGAGAGCUGCCACCAGUCAGUAGAUAGUACUAAGCUAGAAGGCGGCUUCCUGUGUUCUGAUUAAGCUACACAAGGACUUAUCCCCUACACCUGAACUCUAUAUUGACUGCAAGGACUUGUUGUGGCACAAAAAAUAUUUCAUACAUCAAAUUUCUGAGGCACAGUGGAGUAAAUAACCUCCUGCUGCUCUUGAUUGUGAUGUUUGUGUCAUUGUUCCCAAAGGCAGCAUUCAAAGGGUGUGCAAGAGGGAUAAGAAUAGAUCACUGUGGUUCUGAUAAUUGUAAGGGGAAGAAAGGUCUCCUCUGGGAGCAGGUGCAGAGCAGGAGAAAAACAUGUUGACUCAAGAGACUGACAAGGUUCAAGGAGGGAGAAAGUUGAGUUUGGCUGAACGUGACUGACAUCAGAAGAGCCCUGAAACUGGAUCAGGCGAAGGGCCCAUAAAGUCCCGCAUCCUCUUCUCAAAAUGGACAACCAGUUGCCCCAAAGGAAGGGGUCAGUGCAGCAUCCCUUUCCCUACAUGGGAUUCCCAAAAACUAGCACUCACAGUCUUCCUGCCUGAAACAGUGGAGGGAGGCCAUAUUCAUAAGGGCUAGUAGCUGUUUAUGGCCUUAUCCACCUCCAUGAUGUGGCCUAAAUCUCUAUUUUUAUUUGAAACAAAAUUCAUUCACCACUUUCUUGUACAAAACCCCCCACAAGAAUAAUAAUAAGUUUAUUGGGAAAAGACAAGAUAAAAACAGAUGUAUUUGGAAAUCAAAAAAAUUAUUAAGUAAAAGGUUAAGCUAAAGAUAGAUUAAAGAACAUGUCAACUUCUGCACGUCUAAACAGACUUCCCUCAAUAUAAAUUGUUUUCCCAGGCACCAAAAAGAAUACAGAGAGUGUGUCAAAAGGCGGAAUGUGGCAAAGUGUAGGUGCUGCCACAGGAAGGGAUCAAUUUCCACCUGUCCAGAAUGAGCAUUGUGUGGCACCAGUAGUGCUUUUUUCUGGGGGUACUCAAGGGUGCAAAGUACUCCCCCCCCCCCAAAAAUGUUAAAGGCAUGGUAUGAAGUAACAACUUCAUGGUGAGUGCAAGCACAUUCUUUUCUUUUUUUAAAAAAAGCCCUGGGCACCAGCAAUUGUGCCAGUUUUUCAAACUAAAGCAGAUGAGUGAAUAUAUAGGGAAGAAGACAAUUCCUCCAGUCAACUCUUCCCAAGCUGUUAGGAGCUUCAGUGAAACCUUGAGCUUGGCUCAGUAACAAAGGAGCCACCACUGAAGAUCUCAGAGCAGAGUUGUAAUCGGCUGAUGAAGUCCCAAUCCAGCCCAAUGACCAUCUCUGCAUGGAUGUGGUCCUCCAACGCCAGGCCAGGGGCACCCCCCUCCCACUGCCGAGUGUUGGCCUAAAAGUGAUUUCAGUGGAUGGAGUGGAAGUGACUGUGUCUUGUGCCAAAGUGAAGCAUUGGGACAGGCACAAGGUGAGGUCGUGUCAGCCUGUUUCUCAUUUUUAACUAGGGCAGAGUUCUUCUUUUAAAUGCUCACUCUUAAACCAAGAUUUUUCAUUUCUCCAAGUGUUUUGAAUGUUUACCAUUCUAGAACAGGGGGCCCUAACAUGGUGUCAUCCAGAUUUUGUUUGAUUAUCACUCCCAGCAGCCAUCUGGAAACCUAUUGAAUCAACCAACUUCCAAAGACUGACCAUCCAAAAAGGUCUCCUGCCAAGUGUAAAAGGUGCCGUUACCCUCAAUCUCAACAGGAAGUGAUGUGAACUUGACAAGGGACUGAUGUCAAUGUCCUCACUUUUAGUCUCACCCUCUUCCUGCCCAUUUGAGGGAAAGGUCAGAAUAUGGCCUGAUCUGCAUGCAUUGGGAUAGUGACAUGUUGGGACAGCCGAACAUGGUCAUCAUGAAUAGCCAUGAAGUCCUGAGCCACUCAAGAACCAGUUGCCUAGUCAUGGAUGUACUGAAGUCCCCACAGGCCAGAUGAACUUCGAUCUUCAAGCUGUUUGCUACAUAAAAACAAUUAUCACUUCGUCCAUUUCACAAUAAAACCCCACAAAGCCACUCAUCUAUAAACAAAUUAUCUUCAGAACAGGCUCAAAUCCAGAUGUCAUUGUUUCACUUUGGUUUCACAGCAAAAAUUCUAUGAGAGGUUUCCGGUCUUUCAACAAAUGUUAACAAUGAGCUUUUCUCUUAUUGAAUGUGUCAAUUUCACCAUCUCAGCUAAACCUAUUAGCUUUAACAGCCAUUGUUGGGAAUGAUGUGUCCUUGCAUCUUUGUCCAUGUAAAGUCUUGCAGUCUGUGAUCAUACAUUGUAACAAAGAGGAACACAAAUUCUAGAUACCACCCAACUGGAUACAGAGAUGGGAUCUCUUAGACCCAGCAACUCCGUCUCCUGACCCUCAGGUCUGCCCUGAUGCUGCCCUGAAUACCAGGUGGGCACAGCUGGGUGAGGCCAACUCCAGUCCGCUCACUCAUCCACUCAGGUCUCUGUGAUAUAAAUACAAUCAGCCUCCUCAUCCACAAUCAAACCAUAAAAGCAACAACAAAACCCACACAAAUUAAAAUCAGUUAAUCCUUAAACAAGAUCCCAAUCCAAAAUUCUGUUUAGCAGCCUCAGUUUUUGUAGCUAGAGUCAGUCAGGACCUGCCCCUCCUCAGGCCAUGUGGAAGAAGGCCUGUAAGGCAGGGAGCAGGUCUUCUGGGACUCAAAGCUGUGAGAUAGUUGAGGAAAGAAGGGGCAGGACAAGAAAGGGCAUCAUUUUUGGUGACCAUAAGUCUGUAUAUAAUUUCUUAUUUAACGAAUUGAGUUUAUUUGGAUCCCAUCAGAUUUUGUUAUCCUCAUUGAUUAUUAAUUGUUGGACCAAAUUAUCAUAUUGGGUCUAUAAAAUAAAAUAAAAUCUAGCUGCUAAGGCCUGUAAGGCAGGGAGCAGGUCUUCCAGGACUCAGAGCCACGAGACAGUUGAGGAAUAGAAAGCGCAGAGUGACUAAAGUGAGAAGGCAGUGAUGCUGAAAGGUAAAAUAUCGACUGAGCAAAGUGAAUGAGGUGUCAUACUGAGAGGAAAAUGGCAGUUUUAAACAACUGAACUCCUGAACUCCCUAGAGAAACACAAAAAUUCAGCAUCACCUGUUGAAAAUGAUUAACAAUGCUUUUAAUACAGACCAAAGGAAAGAUGGAUAAUCUCUCUCACUCUCUCUGUUUAGUUUUUUGCCGUCAGGUACUCCUUCGUGUUCAGUUCGGGCUUCAGUAUAAUAAUGUAGAACUUGGGCAUGAAGAUGCAGCCCAGAAGCCCAGCACUGGAGGCCAAGAUAGAGAAGACCUGCACAGCUACCAUGUAUUUUCCCUUGGUGCUCAGGUAGGUGGGCACAAAGGACACCCAAACACUGCAGAAGACCAGCAUGCUGAAGGUGAUCAGCUUGGCCUCAUUGAAGGCCCCAGGCAGCUUCC